rnacentral:lncRNA from 1 species
CGCGCUGUCCGCCUGCCUGCAGAAGUGGCUCUGAGAGCUGUUUGAGGAGAAAAUGGGGGACUUUGGGCUUCAGCCCGAGGAGAACACGGUGGAGAUGGAGGAGCCCCUGGGGGUCCGCAGGUUAACUGAAAACAUGGGAGGACACAAGCGCGGGACCAAGUCUGUCACUAACCUGUAAAGAACUCUGACCAAGCUGACUGGGCACUCUGUCUGCGCGCCUUUCUUUGCCACCACGUGUGCGGGAAUGCCUGGGGCACGACUGGGCCAUCUCAGUGUUCUUGUUUCUAGCCAUUCCGAGGUUACCCCUCAGCAAAACGCCAGAGGCCGGCAGACACAGUGGAGCAUCCUGCAGUAGGGAUCCGAAGCCGUGGAAUCUCCAAAGGGCCACGACUGCUUCCCAGAAGCUCUAGCACGUUGCCCGGAAAGCCCAGGUGGUCUUUGGCAAGACCUCCCGGAUUGUGGUUUUGAUUUGCAUUUCUCUGAUGACCAGUGAUGAUGAACAUUUUUUCAUGUGUCUGUUGGCUGCAUAAAUGUCUUCUUUUGAUAAGUGUCUGUUCAUAUCCUUCGCCCACUUUUUGAUGUGAUUGUUUGAUUUUGUCUUGUACAUUUGUUUAAGUUCUUUGUAGAUUCUGGAUAUUAGCCCUUUGUCAGAUGGGUAGAUUGCAAAAAUUUUCUCCCAUUCUGUAAGUUGCCAGUUCACUCUAAUGGAAGUUUUUUUUUUUUUGCUGUGCAGAAGCUCUUUAGUUUAAUUAGAUCCCAUUUGUCAAUUUUGGCUUUUGUUGCCAUUGCUUUUGGUGUUUUAGACAUGAAGUCCUUGCCCAUGCCUAUGUCCUGAGUGGUAUUGCCUAGGUUUUCUUCUAGGGUUUUUAUGGUUUUAGGUCUAACAUUUAAGUCUUCAAUCCAUCUGGAAAAGUUAAUAAUAAUAAUAAUAAUGAAAUAUGGAAAAAAUAAAAAAAAAAAAGACCUCCCGGAGACCAGGAACUUGGUCGGUGCUUGCGGCCUGAGAUCGAGCUCUGGGGCACCUUCCUGUCCUUCUGCUUUUUCCUUGGCCGCCUUAGGGGGCGCGCCUCGCCAUGGGUCUCCCUGCGGGCGGCGCGGUGGUGCUCCUGGAUGUCACCUCCAGGCGCUUUUGAGACUGCGACCGGCAUCGGGCGCCCAGCACCUGCGGAUUGGCCUCCCCAUGCCUGGCUCAAGGACCUCCAGCACUCCGCAGUGCGGGCUGCAGGCGACCUCAACGUGGAGCUGCUGCCAGCGCCACAGGCCCCAGGGAAGCCCAGGAUCUGCUUCCCAGGCCCAAGAAGGGCAGUUUCGGAAAGUCUUUGGCGUGAUGGAAGGCAGCGCCCAUCUGGGGCGGGGCUGAGAACUAGGCUGGCGCCGCUGCCUGGUAAGCGGGUACCAAGAGGCCCACGGCCUCCAUCAGGAACCAGGUGCUUCUCCAAAUCCCGGACUUCAAGGAGCAGCAACGGCGUCAAGCUGGCUGACACCAGGAACACCCAGAAGUCCCCACUCCUGUCCUUCCGCACUCAGGAGUGGGGAUGGCCACAGGGACACCAUCCGCCCACAAACCACUGGCCUUUGCUGCCAUGGUGCGCGGAGAUGCGGUCCCCGAGGCCACUUUCGGCCAGGACGCCGGGAUCUUAUCAGCGGCAGCAUCCCGCGCU